rnacentral:rRNA from 1 species
AUUGAACGCUGGCGGCAGGCCUAACACAUGCAAGUCGAGCGAGCGGCGGACGGGUGAGUAAUGUAUGGGGACUGCCCGAUAGAGGGGGAUAACUACUGGAAACGGUAGCUAAUACCGCAUACUAUCGGAUAACCCAUAUGGGAUUGGCUAGUAGGUGAGGUAAGGGCUCACCUAGGCGACGAUCCCUAGCUGGUCUGAGAGGAUGACCGGCCACACUGUGACGGAGACACGGCCCAGACUCCGACGGAGGCAGCAGUGGGGAAUAUGGCACAAUGGGCGCAAGCCUGAUGCAGCCAGGCCGCGUGUAUGAAGAAGGCCCUAGGGUUGUAAAGUACUGUCAGUCGGGAGGCGUUACCGAGAGAAGAAGCACCGGCUAACUCCGUGCCAGCAGCCGCGGUAAUUC